AACGUUGCAUUGUUAUCCGAUGAGGGGUGUAAUGUAGGUGAAAGGCCAAUCUGACAGGGAGAUAGCUGGUACUCCUCGAAACAUAUUUAAGUAUGACUCCAAAAGUAUAUAACAUAGCAGGUACAGCACUGAUUACCAUACGACAUGAAAGUGUAAGCUUUUGUGUCGUUCAAUUGGGGGGUUGCAAAACUCUAUCAUUGGUAGUUAACCUCGGAAUUACUAUGUUCUAGUCAUUGGAUUUCAGACUGCUCAUGAUAAGGUGGGUGGUCGAGACGGAAACAGCCGUGAGCAUAUGUUAAGGUCCCAAAAUAAUUGUUAAGUGAAAUUAAGGAAGUGAGCGUUCGAAUACAACUAUGCAGUGUGCUUGGUAGUGGCAAUCUGUUAAUGAAAGUGUAACAACUCAGUAGUCUAAUGAAUGCUUGCGCCGAAAAUUAACGGGUCUAGACAAUUUACCGAAACUAUGCCAACA
rnacentral:rRNA from 1 species